UGAUAUAGAUGAUUUCAUUUGAAAAUACAUGAUAAGUUAAAAAAUUAAUUGAAAAUUUAAGAUUUUCAGCACCCUUCCCUAUUCUUUUCCCACUAAACCCAGACUCUCAUCUCUCUCUCUCUCUCUGUGUGUCCUUAAGUUUUCUCUCCUCCCCUACCCCCACCCUAACCACAAGGCCCCUACCCUCGAUGCUUCUUUUGGAAUCUCAAUGGUCAUCGUCCCAACCC
rnacentral:lncRNA from 1 species